AGCCUUCUGCAUAGCUGGGAUUAUAAGCGAGUCGCUCCUCUCUUACUUUGGAUGCCUGCAUUUCAUUUAUGUGUACAACCAGCUUAAGAAGACGAGAAGGCAGAAACAUUAUUACCUACCGGCUGUCCUGAACUUCUGAGCUCAAGCAGGCCUCCCACUUCAGCUUCCCAAGUAACUAGAACACCGGGUGUACACCAUCACCUCCAGAUCUACUUAAAAAGAACUAGCAACUUCUUGCUCUGGUAACUUUAUCUUCUUAUUCCCAAGCAACCUAUUUCUGAAGUUUUGGAGUUUUCAUCCAUCUCAACUCUCUGUCUGUCUUUCUUUUUCUUUUCUAUCUCUCACCGACUCAGUCUUAUUCCAUCGAACUAUAUUUUCUAUUCUAUAUGCAUCCUAUUUUUUGCCAUAAAUGUAAACCUCUUUUUAAGUUAUAUAAGUCACAUUUUUUAGAAAACUCGGAUUAAAUUUCUCUGUUGUAAAUUUGAGUUAGCGAGGCUAAUUCAUGAUACUUGGAAGACCCUUGAAGUCAAGAGGGCUAUGACAAUGACAAUAAAAACUUCUUCCUUUUAAA